rnacentral:rRNA from 1 species
AGGGCACCACCAGGAGUGGAGCCUGCGGCUUAAUUUGACUCAACACGGGAAAACUUACCCGGCCCGGACACUGGAAGGAUUGACAGAUUGAGAGCUCUUUCUUGAUUCAGUGGGUGGUGGUGCAUGGCCGUUCUUAGUUGGUGGAGCGAUUUGUCUGGUUGAUUCCGAUAACGAACGAGACUCUAGCCUACUAAAUAGACUGUUCAGCUUUAUAGCCGGAAUCACCGGGUGCGUAGCUUUCGGGUUGCGUAUUCGGCUCUGGUGACGCUGGCAGUGCUUCUUAGAGGGACAGGCGGCGGUUCAGCCGCACGAAACAGAGCAAUAACAGGUCUGUGAUGCCCUUAGAUGUCCGGGGCUGCACGCGCGCUACACUGAAGUGAUCAGCGUGCAAUUUACGUUUGGUGAUCUGUCAAGAUUGCCCAACCCGUUGAACCUUCUUCGUGAUUGGGAUAGGGGAUUGUAAUUAUUCCCCCUGAACGAGGAAUUCCCAGUAAGCGCAAGUCAUAAGCUUGUGUUGAU